UACGUAGGGGGCAAGCGUUAUCCGGAUUUACUGGGUGUAAAGGGUGCGUAGGCGGCGAGUUAAGUCAGCGGUAAAAGCCCGGGGCUCAACCCCGGCCCGCCGUUGAAACUGGCGGGCUGGAGUUGGAGAGAAGUACGCGGAAUGCGCGGUGUAGCGGUGAAAUGCUUAGAUAUCGCGCAGAACUCCGAUUGCGAAGGCAGCGUACCGGCGCCCUACUGACGCUGAGGCACGAAAGCGUGGGUAUCGAACAGG
rnacentral:rRNA from 1 species